rnacentral:rRNA from 1 species
CAGAGGGUGCGAGCGUUAAUCGGAAUUACUGGGCGUAAAGCGCGCGUAGGCGGCUUUGCAAGUCGGGUGUGAAAUCCCCAGGCUUAACCUGGGAACUGCAUUCGAGACUGCAUGGCUAGAGUAUGGGAGAGGGGAGUGGAAUUUCAGGUGUAGCGGUGAAAUGCGUAGAUAUCUGAAGGAACAUCAGUGGCGAAAGCGACUUCCUGGACCAAUACUGACGCUCAUGUGCGAAAGCGUGGGGAGCAAACAGGAUUAGAUACCCUGGUAGUCCACGCCAUAAACGAUGAGAACUGGAUGUCGGGAGGGUCUGCCUCUCGGUGUCGUAGCUAACGCGUUAAGUUCUCCGCCUGGGGAGUACGGCCGCAAGGUCG